UUCGGUUCGGAAUUGAGGUUAUUAACUGUUCAAUUCGAUUAGUGAAUUGUUAUCAAAAUCAUGAUUCGAUUUGAAA
rnacentral:pre_miRNA from 1 species